GCCUACGGGGCGCAGCAGUGGGGAAUAUUGCAUAAUGGGGGAAACCCUGAUGCAGCGACGCCGCGUGAGUGAAGAAGUAUCUCGGUACGUAAAGCUCUAUCAGCAGGGAAGAAAAUGACGGUACCUGACUAAGAAGCCCCGGCUAACUACGUGCCAGCAGCCGCGGUAAUACGGAGGAUGCGAGCGUUAUCCGGAUUUACUGGGUGUAAAGGGUGCGUAGGCGGGUAAGCAAGUCAGAAGUGAAAUCCAUGGGCUUAACCCAUGAACUGCUUUUGAAACUGUUUAUCUUGAGUGAAGUAGAGGUA
rnacentral:rRNA from 1 species